rnacentral:rRNA from 1 species
UACGAAGGGGGCUAGCGUUGCUCGGAAUCACUGGGCGUAAAGGGUGCGUAGGCGGGUUUUUAAGUCAGAGGUGAAAUCCUGGAGCUCAACUCCAGAACUGCCUUUGAUACUGAAAGUCUUGAGUAUGGGAGAGGUGAGUGGAACUGCGAGUGUAGAGGUGAAAUUCGUAGAUAUUCGCAAGAACACCAGUGGCGAAGGCGGCUCACUGGUCCGGUACUGACGCUGAGGUGCGAAAGCGUGGGGAGCAAACAGG